rnacentral:lncRNA from 1 species
GAGCUUCUAAAAUAUCUUUUAGUCCAUGACCAAUACCCUAGUUGGUCCUAUACAUGUGACCCGCUAUCAGGAAAAGAAUUGCAAUAGCUAAAUGGUGAUGGGCAAUAUCAGUCAGCCACAGACCGCCAGUUACCAAUAUCUUCUUCUCUCCCCUAAUCUUACGUUUCAGCCAAUUACUUCUCAAGAGUGUUAAGAAAAUCUAUGGAGCUUCUAAAAUAUCUUUUAGUCCAUGACCAAUACCCUAGUUGGUCCUAUACAUGUGACCCGCUAUCAGAAAAAGAAUUGCAAUAUCUAAAACGUGAUGGGCAAUAUCAGUCGGCCACAGACCCCCAGUUACUGGAUCUAAUCCUCCACGAAAAGUAAGAAAGUCCGCAUAUUUUGACCAAUUCAAGGUGAAAAAUGGGGUUGCUCCCUCGGCAAAACUCCAUGACCAAUACCCCAGUUGGUCCUAUACAUGUGACCCGCUAUCAGGAAAAGAAUUGCAAUAGCUAAAUGGUGAUGGGCAAUAUCAGUCGGCCACAGACCCCCAGUUACUGGAUCUAAUCCUCCACGAAAAGUAAGAAAGUCCGCAUAUUUUGACCAAUUCAAGGGGAAAAAUGGGGUUGCUCCCUCGGCAAAACUGGGAUAAAGUUGAGCCAAUAAAUCUCGAUUCAAGAUAACUCAUGAGGGAGUGGUAUCUCUUUAGGAUGCAAAGAGAAGUGUGGCGGUCGUGCAAGCAAGCGAAGUCGAAUAUAUUAGAUGAGCUUACUUAGUACGUUAAGACACCCAUUGCACAGGAAGGCUAUGUCAUUCCUGGACUAUUGCUAAUGAGAUUUAGAAAGUCCCAAGCUGGUUCCCAAUACCAACUUAGCAUUCCAUGGUCCGCUAGAUCACAAUAGAUGUCUUUCAAUAAAGAUAGGUCAUUCACCGCUUCUUCCCCAAAAACCGCUUGGCAGAACUCUAUUGGACUCCAUUCUGGUGUAAAUUCUUUCCCACUUCCAUUCGUUGCUCAAAAAGAGCGGUGAUAUCACUCAAAACUUGAGUGCUAGUAAUAUCCCCCGAAUUGGCGUCCGACAGAGUGCUACUAGUCGAACCUUCGUGGGACCUCAGAGAUAAACCUAAAUCCACCGGGGAAGAUGAAUUAGAAGGAGAAUUUGAAAAUGAAUUGGUUAUCCAUAAAGAGAAAGAAAGUUUUCUUCUAGUUCCGCUUCUUGCUCUUCCAAUUCAGAAAGACUUGUCGUAAAAAAUGA